rnacentral:tRNA from 1 species
GGUAAAAUGGCUGAGCUUAAGCACUGAACUGCAAAUUCAAAGACAGCAACUAGAUAUCUCUUUUUACCU